GCUGUGUUGGUUUAGUGGUAAAAUCAACGCUUCCCAUCCGCUGUCUUCUGGACAGAGUACAUGAAUGCGUUGGCCCCGGGUUCGAUUCCCGGACAUAGCA